rnacentral:rRNA from 1 species
GGGCGCACGGUGGAUGCCUUGACACUAGGAGUCGAUGAAGGACGGGACUAACGCCGAUAUGCUUCGGGGAGCUGUAAGUAAGCUUUGAUCCGAAGAUUUCCGAAUGGGGAAACCCACCAUACGUAAUGGUAUGGUAUCCUUAUCUGAAUACAUAGGGUAAGGAAGACAGACCCAGGGAACUGAAACAUCUAAGUACCUGGAGGAAGAGAAAGCAAAUGCGAUUUCCUGAGUAGCGGCGAGCGAAACGGAACAUAGCCCAAACCAAGAGGCUUGCCUCUUGGGGUUGUAGGACAUUCUAUACGGAGUUACAAAGGAACGAGGUAGACGAAGCGACCUGGAAAGGUCCGUCGUAGAGGGUAACAACCCCGUAGUCGAAACUUCGUUCUCUCUUGAAUGUAUCCUGAGUACGGCGGAACACGUGAAAUUCCGUCGGAAUCUGGGAGGACCAUCUCCCAAGGCUAAAUACUCCCUAGUGAUCGAUAGUGAACCAGUACCGUGAGAGAAAGGUGAAAAGCACCCCGGAAGGGGAGUGAAAGAGAUCCUGAAACCGUGUGCCUACAAAUAGUCAGAGCCCGUUAACGGGUGAUGGCGUGCCUUUUGUAGAAUGAACCGGCGAGUUACGAUCCCGUGCGAGGUUAAGCUGAAGAGGCGGAGCCGCAGCGAAAGCGAGUCUGAAUAGGGCGUUUAGUACGUGGUCGUAGACCCGAAACCAGGUGAUCUACCCAUGUCCAGGGUGAAGUUCAGGUAACACUGAAUGGAGGCCCGAACCCACGCACGUUGAAAAGUGCGGGGAUGAGGUGUGGGUAGCGGAGAAAUUCCAAUCGAACCUGGAGAUAGCUGGUUCUCCCCGAAAUAGCUUUAGGGCUAGCCUUAAGUGUAAGAGUCUUGGAGGUAGAGCACUGAUUGGACUAGGGGUCCUCAUCGGAUUACCGAAUUCAGUCAAACUCCGAAUGCCAAUGACUUAUCCUUAGGAGUCAGACUGCGAGUGAUAAGAUCCGUAGUCAAAAGGGAAACAGCCCAGACCGCCAGCUAAGGUCCCAAAGUGUGUAUUAAGUGGAAAAGGAUGUGGAGUUGCUUAGACAACUAGGAUGUUGGCUUAGAAGCAGCCACCAUUUAAAGAGUGCGUAAUAGCUCACUAGUCGAGUGACUCUGCGCCGAAAAUGUACCGGGGCUAAAUACACCACCGAAGCUGCGGAUUGAUACCAAUGGUAUCAGUGGUAGGGGAGCGUUCUAAGGACAGUGAAGUCAGACCGGAAGGACUGGUGGAGUGCUUAGAAGUGAGAAUGCCGGUAUGAGUAGCGAAAGACGGGUGAGAAUCCCGUCCACCGAAUGCCUAAGGUUUCCUGAGGAAGGCUCGUCCGCUCAGGGUUAGUCAGGACCUAAGCCGAGGCCGACAGGCGUAGGCGAUGGACAACAGGUUGAUAUUCCUGUACCACCUCUUUAUCGUUUGAGCAAUGGAGGGACGCAGAAGGAUAGAAGAAGCGUGCGAUUGGUUGUGCACGUCCAAGCAGUUAGGCUGAUAAGUAGGCAAAUCCGCUUAUCGUGAAGGCUGAGCUGUGAUGGGGAAGCUCCUUAUGGAGCGAAGUCUUUGAUUCCCCGCUGCCAAGAAAAGCUUCUAGCGAGAUAAAAGGUGCCUGUACCGCAAACCGACACAGGUAGGCGAGGAGAGAAUCCUAAGGUGUGCGAGAGAACUCUGGUUAAGGAACUCGGCAAAAUGACCCCGUAACUUCGGGAGAAGGGGUGCUUUCUUAACGGAAAGCCGCAGUGAAUAGGCCCAAGCGACUGUUUAGCAAAAACACAGCUCUCUGCGAAGCCGUAAGGCGAAGUAUAGGGGGUGACACCUGCCCGGUGAUGGAAGGUUAAGGAGAGGGGUUAGCGUAAGCGAAGCUCUGAACUGAAGCCCCAGUAAACGGCGGCCGUAACUAUAACGGUCCUAAGGUAGCGAAAUUCCUUGUCGGGUAAGUUCCGACCCGCACGAAAGGUGUAACGAUUUGGGCACUGUCUCAACCAGAGACUCGGUGAAAUUAUAGUACCUGUGAAGAUGCAGGUUACCCGCGACAGGACGGAAAGACCCCGUGGAGCUUUACUGUAGCCUGAUAUUGAAUUUUGGUACAGUUUGUACAGGAUAGGCGGGAGCCUUUGAAACCGGAGCGCUAGCUUCGGUGGAGGCGCUGGUGGGAUACCGCCCUGACUGUAUUGAAAUUCUAACCUACGGGUCUUAUCGACCCGGGAGACAGUGUCAGGUGGGCAGUUUGACUGGGGCGGUCGCCUCCUAAAGUGUAACGGAGGCGCCCAAAGGUUCCCUCAGAAUGGUUGGAAAUCAUUCGUAGAGUGCAAAGGCAUAAGGGAGCUUGACUGCGAGACCUACAAGUCGAGCAGGGACGAAAGUCGGGCUUAGUGAUCCGGUGGUUCCGCAUGGAAGGGCCAUCGCUCAACGGAUAAAAGCUACCCCGGGGAUAACAGGCUUAUCUCCCCCAAGAGUCCACAUCGACGGGGAGGUUUGGCACCUCGAUGUCGGCUCAUCGCAUCCUGGGGCUGUAGUCGGUCCCAAGGGUUGGGCUGUUCGCCCAUUAAAGCGGUACGCGAGCUGGGUUCAGAACGUCGUGAGACAGUUCGGUCCCUAUCCGUCGUGGGCGUAGGAAAUUUGAGAGGAGCUGUCCUUAGUACGAGAGGACCGGGAUGGACGCACCGCUGGUGUACCAGUUGUUCUGCCAAGGGCAUAGCUGGGUAGCUAUGUGCGGAAGGGAUAAGUGCUGAAAGCAUCUAAGCAUGAAGCCCCCCUCAAGAUGAGAUUUCCCAUAGCGUAAGCUAGUAAGAUCCCUGAAAGAUGAUCAGGUUGAUAGGUUCGAGGUGGAAGCAUGGUGACAUGUGGAGCUGACGAAUACUAAUAGAUCGAGGACUUAACCAU